rnacentral:lncRNA from 1 species
AUGGCGGCUGAGGCGUUGAGGGCUAGGCGCCCCGUGUCCUCCUGCGGGCAGGUGGAGACGCACGGCCGGGCCCGGGGAGCCGCCGAGGCCCUGUGCAGCCGGUGUGGAAGAAGGGCGCCCAGAGCUCUGGGUCACCACCAUGAACUUCACUGUGGACAUACUUUUUGUGACCUGUGCUUAUUAAUGACUGAAGAAUACAGCACAAUCACAUGCCCUGAUUGUGAGAUGAGGAAUUGUUCUCAGGACUUUGAAAAGACUGCUCAUCAACAAACUGUUGGUUUAGAACAUUCAGCCUCCACACCCAGGACUGUUUUGAACCCAUCAGCUGUAAUAGAGGAAAGUAAAACUGUGGAAGAGAUCGAUGAAGCAUUGAAGAUAGCAGGCCAAAAUUUUGAACAAUUAAGUAUUGCUGUAAAAAUGCUUGAACACAUACACAGUCAAACAAAAGAGGAGACAGUCUGUCUUAAAGAGGUUCUGGAGAAGCAGUUUGAUCAGCUUUUCACUUCUCUUGAUUCCAGGAAGAAGAGCCUGUGUGAAGAGUUAGUGAGAAAUACAGACAAUUAUUUAUCAAAAAUAAUAGUGACUAAAAGCUACAUUGAAGCAAAAAAAAGUGAUUUGGAUGCAGCUAUGAAGAUAGCAAGAGAAUUAAAAUCUGCACCUUCUCUAAGGAUAUAUUGUGACCUAAAUCAGAUUAUCCGGACUUUGAAGUUAACAUUUGAGAGUGACUUGUCACAAGUCAGCUCUCUAAAACUAAGGACGUCUCCCAAAUGUGAUCCUCAAGAAAGUGAAAUGGAAAAGAAUGGUCACAAGAAAUACAAUUGUAAAAAGGAAUUUUCUUACGGUGGUACAUACCUAUCACUAGAAAAGAAAAAGGCUGACAUUUCUGUCCUAACUAAUGAAGCCCCACUGACUUCUUCACAAUGGGAAAACAGUGACAUGGAUUUGGAAGCUGACUUCCAGCCACAGAAAGAGGUUGUUGCAGCAACACUCCCUAAAACCAUUGCUGCUCUACCUCAGGUGGGAUCUAGCCCUGAUGUGAUCAUUGAAGAAAUUAUUGAAGAAGAAGAAAACCUGGAAAGUUCUCCAGAGCUAGUUUUUGUAAGCCAUGUAAUACAUCCAUGCCACUUCUACAUUCGGAAGUACUCACAAAUAAAAGAUGCAACAGUAUUGGAAAGGAAGGUGAAUCAGUUUUGCAAUAAGAAUUUACACCUUGAUCCUUCAGAUGUUUUGGAGCUAGGUGCAAGAAUAUUUAUCAACAGUAUUGAAAAUGGAAUGUGGUGUCGAGGAACUAUUACUGAAUUAAUUCCAAUGGGAAGUGAAAGUAUUAGAAAACUUAGUAGUCCAACCAAAUUCUCAGUCCAUGAAGUUGCGCUAAUACAAAUAUUCAUGGUAGAUUUUGGAAAUUCUGAAGUGCUGAUUGUUGCAGGAGUUGGUGAUGCUCAUGUGAGAUCAGAGCACAUUGCUAAGCAGCAUGUCGUACUAAAUGACUUAUGCCUGGUUCUGAGAAAGUCUGAGCCAUAUAUCGAAGAACUGCUGAAAGAUGUCCAGCCACUAGCACAUCCAUGCUCAUUGAAAGACAUUGUUCCACAGAAUUCAAGUGAAGGCUGGGGAGAAGAAGCUAAAAUAGAAUUUUUGAAAAUGGUAAAUAAGAAGGCUGUUUUAAUGAAAGUUUUUAAAGAAGAAGAUGGUAUGCUUAUUGUAGAUCUGCAGAAACCACCAACAAAUAAAAUAAGCAGUGAUAUGCCUGUGUCUCUUAGAGAUGCAUUAGUUUUUAUGGAACUGGCAAGGUUUAGAUCUCAAACACCAAGAAGUCAUUCUGAAAAAAAUACGACCUUACACUAUCUUCCACCUAUUUUGCCUAAAGAAAUGACAGAUGUUUCAGUUAUGGUUUGUCAUAUUAAUAGUCCUUCUGAUUUCUAUCUUCAGUUGAUAGAGAGCCUGGAUUUUUUAUUUCUAUUAAAGGGAAUUGAGGAAUUCUAUAAAAGUGAAGAUGCAGAAAAUCUGGAAAUCCUCUGUCCAGUUCAAGAUCAAGCCUGUGUCGCUAAAUUUGAAGAUGGAGUUUGGUACCGAGCAAAAGUUAUUGGUUUGCCUGGACAUCGUGAAGUUGAAGUUAAAUAUGUGGACUUUGGCAAUACAGCAAAAAUAACACUUAAAAACAUGCGUAAGAUAAAGGAUGAAUUUCUGAAUCCUGCAGAGAAGGCAAUUAAAUGUAAGCUGGCCUAUAUUGAACCAUAUAAAGGGACAAUGCAGUGGUCAAAAAAUGCUAAAGAAAAAUUUGAAGAAAAGACUCAAGAUAAGUUCAUGACAUGUUCCAUCAUUAAAAUUCUGGAAGAUAAUGUGCUGUUAGUUGAACUUUUUGAUUUUCUUGGUGCUCCUGGAAUGAUUCCCACCAGUAUUAAUGACCAGCUAGUCAAAGAGGGCCUAGCAUCUUAUGAAGUAGGAUAUACCCUCAAAGAUAAUUCUAAAAAGCAUAUUGAAGUAUGGGAUCCUUCUCCAGAAGAAAUUAUUUCAAAUGAAGUAAACAACUUAAUAAAUCCUCUGUUUGCAAAAUCUCUACCUAGUGAGGAUCUGCAGUCACUUUAUAAUAAGGAACUGCCUGUGCACAUCUGCAAUAUAGUGUCUCCUGAGAAGAUCUAUGUUCAGUGGUUAUUAACAGAAAACUUGCUUCAUAGUUUAGGAGAAAAGAUGGUUGCUGCUUAUGAAAACUCAAAAUGGGAACCUGUUAAAUGGGAAAAUGAUAUGCACUGUGCUGUUAAUAUCCCAGAUAAAAAUCAGUGGCGAAGGGGCCAGAUCAUCAGAAUGGUUACAGACACAUUGGUAGAGGUCUUGCUGUAUGACGUGGGUGUUGAACUAGUAGUGAACAUUAACUGUUUAAGAGAACUUCAAGAAAACCUAAAGACAAUGGGAAGAUUAUCUUUGGAAUGCUCUCUUGUUGAUAUAAGACCAACAGGUGGGAGUGACAAGUGGACAGCAACAGCCUGUGACUGCCUCUCAUUGUACCUCACUGGAGCUGUAGCAACCAUUAUCAUACAGGUGUGUGACAAGGAAAACAAUACAAUGUGGCCCUUACCUGUGAAAAUUUUCUGCAGAGAUGAAAAAGGAGAGCGUGUUGAUGUUUCUAAAUAUUUGAUUAAAAAGGGUUUGGCUUUGAGAGAAACAAGAAUUAAUAAAUUAGAUAACAGCCAUUCAUUAUCCCAGAAGUCUCUGGAAAUCCCCCAGGAACAAGGAGAAUCAGUGGUUACUAAGUAUGUUAAGAUUAACUCUGUCCCUGACAAGAAAGCUGCUGUUGGUGUCAGUGAACCCAAGGUGACUGAAUUUAGGGAGAAAAUUCUAGAGCCAAGAACUACUGGAUGCUAUAAACCACCAGCUAUUCCUAACCAGAAAGUAUUUGAGGCAGUAGUCAGCUGCAUUGGUGAUGAUGGAACUAUAUUUGUGGUACCUAAAUUAUCAGAAUUUGAACUAAGAAAAAUGAUGGAUGAAAUUCAAAGUAAUUUAAAAUGCCUUGGUCUUUUGGAACCUUAUUUCUGGAAAAAGGGAGAAGCUUGUGCAGUAAGGGGAUCAGAUACUAUGUGGUAUCGAGGCAAGGUAAUGGAAGUAACUGGCAGCACUAUCAGGGUACAAUAUUUAGAUCAUGGAUUCACUGAGAAGAUUCCACAGUGUCAUCUUUAUCCUAUUUUACUGUAUCCUGAUACACCCCAAUUUUGUAUUCCUUGUCAGCUCUAUAACACCGUACCUGUUGGGAAUGUCUGGCAACCAGAUGCAGUAGAACUCCUUCAGGAGCUGCUUUCAAAGAGAGAAGUGGAAAUUCACGUUAUGGAACUACCAGAAAAUCCAUGGGGGAAAUUACCUAUUCAUCUCUAUUUUGAUGGAAUGUCACUUUCUUACUUUUUGGCACACCAUAAAUAUUGUACUUUUGAACAAUCUGAGGAAAUACUGAAGGAAAAUCCAACAGAUUACAAUAAAAAGUAUGAGGAAGAGAGAUGGGAAAUAAGGUUUGAGGAUUUGCUUUUGCCUGAAACAGAGACUCCUAUUUUACCACCAUAUUUGUCUUCAUCUCUGCCUCCCCCUGAGGAACUCUAUGCUGUUCAAGUAAAGCACGUUGUCUCACCCAGUGAAGUAUAUAUUUGUCUUGAAUCUGUCGAAAGUUGUAGUUUGUUUAACCAGCACAGUGACACAGAAGACAGUGGAGUCGGCUGGGAAUCUGAGUCGGAGAGCCUAGAGGAGGCACUGCGGAGGUUCAAUAAGAAUAUGGAGACAUUCCCUCCUCUGACAGACUUCAGAACAGAAAUGCCUUGCCUUGCAGAAUAUGAUGAUGGCUUAUGGUAUAGAGCAAAGAUUGUUUCCAUUAAAGAAUUUAAUCCUCUAGCUGUCCUGGUGCAAUUUGUUGAUUAUGGAUCAACUGAAAAGCUGACAGUAAACAGACUGCGUCAAAUCCCUCUUCAUCUUAUGCAGUAUCCAGCUCGAGCCAUAAAGGUUCUCUUGGCAGGGUUUAAACCACCCUUGAGAGACGUAGGAAAGACAAGAAUACCAUAUUGUCCAAAGUGGAGCAUGGAAGCAUUGUGGGCCAUGAUAGACUGUCUACAAGGAAAACAGCUUUAUGCUUCUUCCAUGGCUCAGGUACCAGAACAAAUGGUGACUUUAUAUGAAGAUAAACAGUAUCCAAUUCAUAUGUCAUUAGUAGAAAUGGGGCUUGCAGACCGAGAUGAAUAA